UACGGAGGGGGCUAGCGUUGUUCGGAAUUACUGGGCGUAAAGCGCGCGUAGGCGGACCUGCAAGUCAGGGGGUGAAAUCCUGGAGCUCAACUCCAGAACUGCCUUUGAUACUGGAGAUCUCGAGUCCGGAAGAGGUGAGUGGAACUCCGAGUGUAGAGGUGAAAUUCGUAGAUAUUCGGAAGAACACCAGUGGCGAAGGCGGACUCACUGGUCCGGUACUGACGCUGAGGUGCGAAAGCGUGGGGAGCAA
rnacentral:rRNA from 1 species